rnacentral:rRNA from 1 species
UACGAAGGGGGCUAGCGUUGCUCGGAAUCACUGGGCGUAAAGCGCACGUAGGCGGAUCUUUAAGUCAGGGGUGAAAUCCUGGAGCUCAACUCCAGAACUGCCUUUGAUACUGGGGAUCUCGAGUCCGGGAGAGGUGAGUGGAACUCCGAGUGUAGAGGUGAAAUUCGUAGAUAUUCGCAAGAACACCGGUGGCGAAGGCGGCCAACUGGACCAUUACUGACGCUGAGGCGCGAAAGCGUGGGGAGCAAACAGG